UACGUAGGUGGCAAGCGUUGUCCGGAUUUACUGGGCGUAAAGAGCGCGCAGGCGGUCGUCCAAGUCGCGUGUGAAAGCCCCCGGCUCAACUGGGGAGGGUCACGCGAUACUGAUCGACUCGAAGGCAGGAGAGGGUAGUGGAAUUCCCGGUGUAGUGGUGAAAUGCGUAGAUAUCGGGAGGAACACCAGUGGCGAAGGCGGCUCGCUGGGCCGUAACUGACGCUGAGGAGCGAAAGCAUGGGGAGCGAACAGG
rnacentral:rRNA from 1 species